GAUGAAGAACGCAGCGAAAUGCGAUAAGUAGUGUGAAUUGCAGAAUUCAGUGAAUCAUCGAAUCUUUGAACGCACAUUGCGCCCCUUGGUAUUCCAUGGGGCAUGCCUGUUCGAGCGUCAUUUGUACCUUCAAGCUCUGCUUGGUGUUGGGUGUUUGUCUCGCCCCUGCGUGUAGACUCGCCUCAAAACAAUUGGCAGCCGGCGUAUUGAUUUCGGAGCGCAGUACAUCUCGCGCUUUGCACUCAUAACGACGACGUCCAAAAGUACAUUUUUACACUCUUGACCUCGGAUCAGGUAGGGAUACCCGCUGAACUUAAGCAUAUCAAUAAGCGGAGGA
rnacentral:misc_RNA from 1 species